UACGGUCACUUCACGUUGAAACACCAGUUCUCGUACGAUCACCGAAGUUAAGCACCAUCGAGCCUGGUCAGUACCUAAAUGGGUAACCACAAGAAAAUACCAUGUGCUGUAA